rnacentral:rRNA from 1 species
GUCCAUGCCGUAAACGUUGGGCACUAGGUGUGGGGGACAUUCCACGUUUUCCGCGCCGUAGCUAACGCAUUAAGUGCCCCGCCUGGGGAGUACGGCCGCAAGGCUAAAACUCAAAGGAAUUGACGGGGGCCCGCACAAGCGGCGGAGCAUGCGGAUUAAUUCGAUGCAACGCGAAGAACCUUACCAAGGCUUGACAUGAACCGGAAACACCUGGAAACAGGUGCCCCGCUUGCGGUCGGUUUACAGGUGGUGCAUGGUUGUCGU